rnacentral:lncRNA from 1 species
UUGGACCUGAUGGUUCUUCACAACGUGAGAUGAGUGUGUUGUAUGAAUAAACUUGAGUGCAACUGAAUAUGCAACGUGAGAUGAGUGUGUUUUGUAAAAUGGGCCUCCUCAUUUUACAAACAACCUCUGCUUAUAUGCAUAUUCACUUUACAGCCAACAAUUAUAUUGUUUGACUCCAAUAUGGAUUGAACUUCCAGAUAUUGAGAUUUUAUGCCACCUUAG